rnacentral:rRNA from 1 species
AGCAGCCGCGGUAAUUCCAGCUCCAAUAGCGUAUAUUAAAGUUGUUGCAGUUAAAAAGCUCGUAGUUGAAUUUCGGGAUCGACGGGUCGGUCGCGCCUCUGGUGUGUACUGGCCCUGUCGGUUUCUCCCUUCUGACGAACCACGAUGUCAUUAAUUUGGUGUCGUGGGAAAUCAGGACUGUUACUUUGAAAAAUUAGAGUGUUUAAAGCAGGCAUUCGCUUGAAUACAUUAGCAUGGAAUAAUGAAAUAGGACGUUUGAUCUUAUUUUGUUGGUUUCUAAGAUCGACGUAAUGAUUAAUAGGGAUAGUUGGGGGCAUUAGUAUUCAAUUGUCAGAGGUGAAAUUCUUGGAUUUAUUGAAGACUAACUACUGCGAAAGCAUUUGCCAAGGAUGUUUUCAUUAAUCAAGAACGAAAGUUAGGGGG